rnacentral:rRNA from 1 species
UGGGGAAUAUUGCGCAAUGGGGGGAACCCUGACGCAGCCAUGCCGCGUGAAUGAAGAAGGCCUUCGGGUUGUAAAGUUCUUUCGGUAUUGAGGAAGGUUGAUGUGUUAAUAGUACAUCAAAUUGACGUUAAAUACAGAAGGAGCACCGGCUAACUCCGUGCCAGCAGCCGCGGUAAUACGGAGGGUGCGAGCGUUAAUCGGAAUAACUGGGCGUAAAGGGCACGCAGGCGGUUAUUUAAGUGAGAUGUGAAAGCCCUGGGCUUAACCUAGGAAUUGCAUUUCAGACUGGGUAACUAGAGUACUUUAGGGAGGGGUAGAAUUCCACGUGUAGCGGUGAGAUGCGUAGAGAUGUGGAGGAAUACCGAAGGCGAAGGCAGCCCCUUGGGAAUGUACUGACGCUCAUGUGCGAAAGCGUGGGGAGCAAACAGGAUUAGAUACCCUGGUAGUCCACGCUGUAAACGCUGUCGAUUUGGGGGUUGGGGUUUAACUCUGGCGCCCGUAGCUAACGUGAUAAAUCGACCGCCUGGGGAGUACGGCCGCAAGGUUA